ensembl:snoRNA SNORA72 Small nucleolar RNA SNORA72
AAGUGAGAUAGAACUGACAUAUGUAUGUACAGUAAUCAGGGCAGGCUAAACAGCUGCUAUCCUGAGAACAGGCACGUGUUCCCAGACCUAGUUCUUUCCCUGCGCCUGGUUUUACCAAUGCUGGUGAGAAAC